GGGACUGUGGCUUAGUGGUAGAGUGCUUGCCUAGCAUGCAUGAAGCCCUGGGUU
rnacentral:tRNA from 1 species